rnacentral:rRNA from 1 species
AACGAACGCUGGCGGCAGGCUUAACACAUACAAGUCGAGCGCCCCGCAAGGGGAGCGGCAGACGGGUGAGUAACGCGUGGGAAUCUACCCAUCUCUACGGAAUAACGCAUGGAAACGUGUGCUAAUACCGUAUACGUCCUUCGGGAGACAGGUUUAUCGGAGAUGGAUGAGCUCGCGUUGGAUUAGCUAGUUGGGGGGGUAAAGGCCUACCAAGGCGACGAUCCAUAGCUGGUCUGAGAGAAUGAUCAGCCACACUGGGACUGAGACACGGCCCAGAAUCCGAAGGGAGGCAGCAGUGGGGAAUAUUGGACAAUGGGCGCAAGCCUGAUCCAGCCAUGCCUCGUGAGUGAUGAAGGCCCUAGGGUUGUAAAGCUCUUUCACCGGUGAAGAUAAUGACGGUAACCGGAGAAGAAGCCCCGGCUAACUUCGUGCCAGCAGCCGCCGUAACAC